UCUUUCUCUCAUAGUCUUCAUCUUCAUCUGUGUUUUCAAUCUUCAAUACCUUAGAGACAUGGCUGUUGCUGCUUACGCAUCCUUGGUUUCUCUCACUCAUGUCCUCGACAAUCUCCAUUAUCGUGCACGCUUUGAUGUCCCUCGUGCUGACAUCAAACAAGUCGAAGCUCUUAAAAAAAAUGUCAACUCCUUGCUGGAGUUUGUCGAGCUUCAUUCUGGAAGGAAGUGCCCCGAGCUUCGAGGCUUGUGGAGGCAAAUGGCUGAGGCUGCAACAGAAGCAGAAGGUGCCAUGAACUUCCACGUAUCCAAUCUACUCUAUGCCAACUCUCAAGGAGAAAGUGAUACUUUAAACUUCUCAGAUUUCUUUGAAGAAAUGGAGACACUGAUCCAAAAGUUUGCUAGCAUCGAAAAAGAGUUUCCAAUGAUCGAAGAAGAAGGAGAAGAUGCUCAAGCUCAAACGCAACCCAAUGCUUCUGUUACUGCUGGUGGCUCGUCUGCAGCUGCUGCGUAUGUCAGCAGUGUUGUCGUGGGACUGGAUGAGCAUGUGAACAUUCUCAGGGACAAGCUCAUCAGAGGUAAAUCUAAUCUCGAAAUCCUCUCAAUUGUCGGAAUGGGAGGUAUUGGUAAGACCACUUUGGCUAAAAGUCUCUUUGAUGAUUUAUGUGUCAUCGAUCACUUUGAUUUACGGAUUUGGCUUUCCAUAUCGCAACAUUAUAGUGCUGAACAAAUCCUUAAAGUUGGUCUUGAAGAAAAGGCAGGAGAAAAUGAAACAUGUGAAAGUUUAGAUGAGUUGGGAAUUAGAUUCUACCAAAAGUUAUUUGGUAGAAGGUAUUUGGUUGUUAUGGAUGAUAUGUGGUCAACUGGAGCUUGGCAUGAUUUACGGAGGUACUUUCCCAACACUGGAGAUGGCAGUCGUAUUUUGUUAACAACUAGACUCUCAAACAUGGCUGCUUCUUUGGCUUCUCAUGAUCCAUAUCUUUUAACAUUUUUAAAUGAGAACCAAAGUUGGAGUUUAUUUUGUCAAAGUGCUUUCUCCCAAAAGGAUUGCCCAUUCGGUCAUUUAGAAAAGCUUGCAAAGGAAAUUGCAAAAUGUUGCAGAGGACUUCCAUUAGAAAUUGUUGUUGUGGGUCGAUUGCUUGCAAACUCUGAAAGGAGGGUAAAAUAUUGGGAGUAUGUUCUAGAUCAUAUUAGCUCAUUCGCUAAUUUGGGAGAUGAUGAGCAUUGUAGGAAAAUACUAUCUUUAAGUUAUGAGAGUUUACCUAUUCAUCUCCAACCCUGUUUUUUAUAUUUGAGAGUUUUUCCGGAAGAUAGUUCGAUUGCAGUUUCGGAGGUAGUAGAUUUCUGGAUUGCUGAAGGAUUCAUUAAAUCAAUGAGUUUUAGAAGUUUGGAAGAUAUUGCAAGAGAGUACGUUGAAAGUCUCAUUGAUAGAAAUCUAAUAUUUGAUCGAGGUGAAUCUCAGUGCGGCAUUCAUGAUCUUUUACGAGAUCUUUGCUUAAGGGAGUCAAAAGAUGAAUGUUUUCUCCAAUUACCUAGAAGCCAAAGUGUUAAAAAAAGGUUUAUAAAAGUUGUGCACUGUAAUCUUUGUCUAGAUAUACUGAUAAACAAAGAAGGAAUGCAUAUUGGGCGAUCAUCUUAUACAUUUGGAUUAUCAUCACAAGUUAAUUCUUUUGUAUGUGAUGCUUGCAUGAAGAUGUAUUUGCACAUUAAAAGACUUAAUUUGGUGAAGAUUUCAGAGUACGAUGACUGUUUUGACACAGAAAUUUUGCAUCCAAUUGAAGUGCAUCGUGUCUAUCUAGAGGAGGUGAAAUUAUUUAUUCCUUCAACAUUGAAGUUACUUUGGAACCUUCAAAGUUUAAGAAUUUAUUUAAGCCCUUCACUUAAGGAAUUGCCUCAAGAUAUAUGGGAGAUGCCACAGCUCAGAGAGAUUGAAGUUUCAGGAGGAAUUCUACCUGAUCCUAUUGCCACCGAUAUUGAGGGGGAGAAUUUUCUUGUCCUAAAUGACCUCCACACCAUAGAUGGAAUAUACAAUUUCAAGUGUACCAAGGCAAUCAUUGAUCGGAUCCCAAGUUUGAGGAAAUUGAAUGUUUCUUAUGAAGAUGGAUCUAAGGGGGGAGUAAAACCAUCGAACUUUUCUCUGUGUAAUCUUGAUAAACUAGAGAAACUUGAAUCUUUAAUGAUUAGAAAUUACUCGGAGAACAUGACCUUUCCUAAUUCUCUCAAAGAAUUAUCUUUGUACAAUUGUAGAAUGGCAUGGGAGGAUAUGUCAAUUGUUGGUUCAUUGCCGAGUCUUGAACAUCUUCAUAUAUAUGGUGAUGUGGAAGGGUCCGAGUGGGAGCCUGUUCAAGGGGAAUUUCUUAGCCUGAAAGAAUUGCUCAUUGGCAAAAAUGAUUUAGUGUGUUGGCGAGCUGAAUCGGUGCACUUCCCUAUUCUUGAGAGCCUUCAACUUACUGAAUUACGUUUAUUGGAGGAGAUCCCCAUGGGCAUUGGAGAUGUACCUACAUUGCAAUCAAUUAUUGUGGACUAUUGCCGCGAGUCUGUCAUUGAUUCGGCAAAGGAAAUAUGGAAGGAGCAGCUUGAGUGUGAAAAUGGGACUAGAAUUGACGUCAUAGAUAGAGAACUGUCCGUCCGAUAUCAAGUUGGUACUUACACUGCAAGAAUGACAGGGGCUGGUUGUCAAACAUUUGCUUAUUCAAAAUAUCUUUGGGAAAGUCUCGACAAGGUUGUUCGACAUGGCAGCCACACUCUAAACACAAAACAUAUGGAAGCUGUGGAGGAAGCCAUACAUUUUUUCAAAGUUUUUCACCCAAGGAAGAGCCAAGAAAUGGAAAGUUUGCUUCGCGAAAUGGCCCUAGCUACGCAUAAAGCGAAUGUUGUGAUAGAUAGACUACGCUCGAAAACUUUGAUGCCAAUACUUGGUAAGUGCAUCCGUGUAGAUGUGGAAAGACUGUUGGAAAUAAUAGUCUUCAUAAGAAAGGCGUUGGCGUUGGCGGUGGCUAAAGAGGAAGGGAAAGAAGGCGAGGAAAUUGAUGUUUCCGAUGAUGAUGCCACAUCCUAUGAUAUCAACUCAUUGACAAUUUUGAAGGAAAUGUUUGUUACUGAUGAAGAUUUGAGGGAGUAUCAAAUUGGUUCUGUCACUGCCACAAUGUCCGAGGCUGCUAGUUUAGUUUGGUCUGAUUUAGCAUGCGUCUUGGGGGUCCUCCGGAAGGCUUAUGAACUCGGCUGCCAUCACCUAAACACAGAACAAGUGGACAAUGUGAAGGACUUCAUCCAUUUACUGCAAGAAGUUGUUGAAGUUUAUCCUCAAAGUAUACACCAUAUAACCAAACCUCUUUUCCGUUUAGCAAUAAUUGAUCUUUUCAAGGCAGCAGAGCAACUGAAUUCGAAACAUCUUUGGCAACAAUCACUGGUAGAUGCAACUGUUGAAGACCUCUUAUCCUUCUCCAGGGAUGUGGAAAAUUUGUUACGAAAGUCAAAAUACAUCAAAAGAAGGUUAAUAAGGCCUCAAAGUGAAGAUAGCUCACAAGGAAAUACUUGACGAGGCUGCUUUACAAGGCCGCAAUUUUCUAGACAGAAAACAUGUCAAAGCCAUGGAGAAAGACACCCAUUGAGUAAAAGCCAAGAAAUGGAAAGUCUGUUGACAGAAACAGCUAAGGCUGUCCACACUAAGACAUUCGCGGCGAUGUGAAAAGAUUGUUGGAAAAGAUCAACUUCAUAAAAAGGGCAUUGUUGGUGGCGAAAGAGAAUGAGCAAGAUGAAGAUAUUAGUGAUAAUGAUCCAGCAUCUUCAACUCAUUGGAAAUUAUAAUAGCAAAUUGGUUUCAUCAAUGCAUCAAUGGAGAGCUUAUAAAUUCAAAGCAUUUCGGGAAACACUCUCCAGAAGAUAUUCUCAAAAUAGUGACAAGAAAAAAAAAUGGAAACAACCAUAAUUAGCCACCAGAGAAAAUCCAAACGGUAGCUAAAUUCCGGGAGAAGGCUAGAGAAGUAUCUUGGUUGGCCUGAGGAUGUCGACGAGAUAUUGAGAGAGUGUCAAAGCCAAUUCGUGGAGGGCUGCUUGGAUUUCCCCACAAAUUUUUGAUUUUGAAAAGCACUGGCAGAAAUAGUCACAAUCCUUUCCUCACUUUCGGGAGCAGCAGAGGAUUCAUCCUGCGUGAUUUCUCCGGAUACGUGCGGCGCUGAAGUUUCAACGGCAGUUCCUUUCGCCUUCGACAUUGUGGUUUCGUCUGGCGAUGGUAACUUCCUAUUCCUCAACUGCAUAGAAGUCCAUUGGAUGUGUCUGUUAUCACUAAAAUUUCGUCGAUAACGGCCGGAUGAGUUGGGCCUGGUGAAAUCGACGUGAAUUGGGUUCCUGGUCUACUCAAGAAAAUAUCCGGUCUAGUCUAGCAACAAAAAUUAAUCAUCUAGGAAUUGAAUUACUGGAAACAAAAGAUGCUGAAGUAAUGAUGAAUCAAGCUAGGUUUUUUGGCUGGUUCGGAUGGUUCUCUUGACUCUUGCUUUUCCUUUUUUUUAUAUUAUUCUCAAGAUUUUCUUCACUCUCCCCCUAUUAUAGGAACAAAGAUGAUCUCUUGGGUAUCCGAUCAAAAAAAAAAAAAAAAAGAUGAUCUCUUGGGUAUGAUUGUUUCAUUAGGGAUCGGCUAAUGGUCUGGGGAGUGAACUUGUGAUCAUGCGGUCAUGGGUUUAAACCCAAUGCCUCUAGGUCCACCUGCCACACAUUCGUCUAGUGUGACUUGCCUUGUGGGCCUAGUUUGUAGUGUAUAAGGUUGGUUUGGUUAUGGGUAACUGCGCAUACCAUGUUAAAAAAAAAAAAAGAAAAAAGAGGUCUGAUGUAUGGGGAGUGAACUUGUAAUCGUGGGGUUUAAACCCUAACGCCUCCAGGUCGACCUCAUGACUUGUCUUGUCAGACUUAGUUUCAGCAUGUUAGGUUCGGCUUUGCACUUUUGGCAGCGAUUGCAGAUUUCCACGUUAUUAAAAAAAAAUGAUCUCUUGGGCCGAUCUGACUUUGGGCUUCCUUUUAUCCGUAAUGGGCUUUUAUUUCUGGGCAAAGCCUUGGGAAAUUCUUGGACCAAUCCCGUUUUGGGACGCUCUUGCCCGUGUAAAAAU